rnacentral:misc_RNA from 1 species
GAUGAAGAACUCAGCGAAAUGCGAUAAGUAGUGUGAAUUGCAGAAUUCAGUGAAUCAUCGAAUCUUUGAACGCACAUUGCGCCCCUUGGUACUCCAUGGGGCAUGCCUGUUCGAGCGUCAUUUACACCCUCAAGCUCAGCUUGGUGUUGGGCGUCUGUCCCGCUUCGUGCGCGGACUCGCCUCAAAUGCAUUGGCAGCGGUCUUGCCAGCUUCUCGCGCAGCACAUUGCGCUUCUAGAGGCUUUGGCGGAUCGGCGUCCAUCAAGUACACCCACAGUUUGACCUCGGAUCAGGUAGGGAUACCCGCUGAACUUAAGCAUAUCAAUAAGCGGAGGA